rnacentral:tRNA from 1 species
UGUAAGGUGCCUGAUUAAAGGAUGAUUUUGAUAGAAUCAAUAAAGUGACCCCCCUCACCCUUACAU